rnacentral:rRNA from 1 species
ACAGAGGGUGCAAACGUUGUUCGGAAUUACUGGGCGUAAAGCGCGUGUAGGCGGCCGAGCAAGUCGGAUGUGAAAUCCCAUGGCUCAACCAUGGAAGUGCACCCGAAACUGCUCGGCUUGAGUCUCGGAGAGGAAGGUGGAAUGCUCGGUGUAGAGGUGAAAUUCGUAGAUAUCGAGCGGAACACCGGUGGCGAAGGCGGCUACCUGGACCGAUACUGACGCUGAGACGCGAAAGCGUGGGUAGCAAACA